rnacentral:rRNA from 1 species
GUCAGGAACAGCUAUGACUGGGCGUCGUUUUACAGUUCCUGCAGCUUAACCGAGCUAUCGACUGGGUCCGUCUGAUCCUGCUAUGAACGGACGCUGCGGCUGCUGACACAUGUCAGUCGACUGAGAGAGAUGAUUUGCUUGCUUCUUAUUGAUUCGAGUGGCAAACGGGUGGAGUAAAGCGUAAGCAACCUGCCCUCUAGAUGGGGACAACAGCUGGAAACGGCUGCUAAUACCGAAUACGUUCUUUCUGUCGCAUGGCAGAAGGAAGAAAGGGAGGCUCUUCGGAGCUUUCGCUGGAGGAGGGGCUUGCGUCUGAUUAGCUAGUUGGAGGGGUAACGGCCCACCAAGGCGACGAUCAGUAGCCGGUCUGAGAGGAUGAACGGCCACAUUGGGACUGAGACACGGCCCAGACUCCUACGGGAGGCAGCAGUGGGGAAUCUUCCGCAAUGGACGAAAGUCUGACGGAGCAACGCCGCGUGAACGAUGACGGCCUUCGGGUUGUAAAGUUCUGUUAUACGGGACGAAUGGUACGACGGUCAAUACCCGUCGUAAGUGACGGUACCGUAAGAGAAAGCCACGGCUAACUACGUGCCAGCAGCCGCGGUAAUACGUAGGUGGCAAGCGUUGUCCGGAAUUAUUGGGCGUAAAGGGCGCGCAGGCGGCGUCGUAAGUCGGUCUUAAAAGUGCGGGGCUUAACCCCGUGAGGGGACCGAAACUGCGAUGCUAGAGUAUCGGAGAGGAAAGCGGAAUUCCUAGUGUAGCGGUGAAAUGCGUAGAUAUUAGGAGGAACACCAGUGGCGAAAGCGGCUUUCUGGACGACAACUGACGCUGAGGCGCGAAAGCCAGGGGAGCAAACGGGAUUAGAUAC